rnacentral:rRNA from 1 species
GACGAACGCUGGCGGCGUGCUUAACACAUGCAAGUCGAACGAUGAUGCUGGAGCUUGCUCCAGUUGAUUAGUGGCGAACGGGUGAGUAACACGUGAGCAAUCUGCCCUUGACUCUGGGAUAACUGCGGGAAACUGUAGCUAAUACCGGAUACUUUCACCGGGGGGCAUCCUCUGGUGAUGAAAGAAUUUCGGUCAAGGAUGAGCUCGCGGCCUAUCAGCUUGUUGGUGAGGUAACGGCUCAACAAGGCGACGACGGGUAACCGGCCGGAGAGGGUGACCGGUCACACUGGGACUGAGACACGGCCCAGACUCCUACGGGAGGCAGCAGUGGGGAAUAUUGCACAAUGGGCGCAAGCCUGAUGCAGCAACGCCGCGUGAGGGAUGAAGGCCUUCGGGUUGUAAACCUCUUUUAGCAGGGAAGAAGCGAAAGUGACGGUACCUGCAGAAAAAGCACCGGCUAACUACGUGCCAGCCGCCGCCGUAA